UGCAGCUUAAUGGUAAGGCAUCUGUUUUGCAUGCAGAAGGUCCCAGGUUCGAUUCCUGGUAACUCGGAAAAA
rnacentral:tRNA from 1 species